UACAGAGGGGCAAGCGUUGUUCGGAAUUACUGGGCGUAAAGGGCGCGUAGGCGGCCUUCUAAGUCGAACGUGAAAUCCCCGGGCUCAACCCGGGAACUGCGUCCGAUACUGGAAGGCUUGAAUCCGGGAGAGGGAUGCGGAAUUCCAGGUGUAGCGGUGAAAUGCGUAGAUAUCUGGAGGAACACCGGUGGCGAAGGCGGCUACUCUGGGCAUUACCUGACGCUGAGGAGCGAAAGUGUGGGGAGCGAACAGG
rnacentral:rRNA from 1 species